AGACUCUCCGGGAGGGCGGGCGGGCUCCCGGCUUUCAGGCUCCGCGCAGUCUGCGGGCGGGAGGGUGCCAGCGAGGUGGUGAGGGCGGUGGGUGCGGGGACGCAGCAGCCCUGGCCAAGCCCAGAGACCGGAGGACACCCCCCUCCCAGCGCUCUAACACGGGUAACUUCCCGCUGCCCGGAACGGAGUUUCUCCGUUACCCACGGACAUCCAGGAGGCCGUGUGGAGGGCAAGCAGGGUAACCCCCACUCCUAAACCACCUCUAUCCAAGGGGAGCCCGAGGAGCCAGCAGGUCCGGACACUCUGAGGAGGCUCCUCGUGGGGCCUCCCACGCACAGGUGCUGAGCUGGGCCAGCGGGUAUCUCCAGGCAGCCUCUGCUAAUGAGCUCUUAGCAGGACAGGGGAGGAGACAGAUUCCAGCUGCCCCCGCAUGCCAGAGCACCAACCGCUCUGUUCCUUACAAGCCUGCCAGGUCCCAGCUCUGCUUCCCUGACCCCAUCUGCAGUCGCAAGCAAGCCCCAGCCCUGGAGGGGCUGCACCCUGCAACCUUCCCACAGCUGUCUCCUUUGGAUCUUUUUGCGGUCUGGGCUUGCUGUUCUCUCGACAGUAGUCAGGAAGCCCUUACCCCAAAAAGUAUCUACGGGAGGCUUGGUCUACAGGGGAGACCCCCAAGGGCUCCAGAACCAGGCUGACUCAAGACAAGGAGUUUGGAGAGACAAGGGAAGGCAUCUUUGCUUCACAGACAUGCAGAGGCAUGUGCGUCUGACCAUCACAUACAUGCAGAGGCACAUGUGGCUGCAUUUUCACUCCUUGCUGCUUCAUGUUUGCAUAUGCACACAGAAUACACAUUAAAUAAACACUAAACCAAAGCUAAGAAAAACAACAACGACAGAAAAGGCAGUGAGCUCUCUGACUACUUUCCUCUUUCUUACCUGAGGUGUGCUAAGAGUCUACUUUCAAGAAAUUUAGGAAAACAUGGCAAUUUAUCAAUAUAAUAUGUAUUUCAGAUCCUUACCAGGUGACAGGCAGGUGUCAGCAACAUGCUAUGUACUCCUCAGACUCAAGAAUUAUAAGCUUAAUAAACCUAUAUUCUUCAUAAA
rnacentral:lncRNA from 1 species